rnacentral:tRNA from 1 species
GUUCCGGUAGCUCAGCGGGAGAGCGCCGCCUCGACAAGGCGGAAGUCGCUGGUUCGAUCCCAGCCCGGAGCA